rnacentral:rRNA from 1 species
AUGCGGCUCGGCUUUUUCGGGCGUGGUCGACGACGGUGCAGCCAAGUGUCGUGCCGCUGCGUCCCUUUUAUGGAGACUUCUUCUUCCUGGCUUCUCACCCAUUUUAUCGUCAGCAAGUCUCCUGCGGACGAGAAGCAAGAUAAGGUAGACAAAAAUUCCACCAGAGCUGUCGUUAGGGAGCUGCGCAGCGUGCAGAUAGAGAUGCCGACCAUCAUCAUCAAGGUAGACCUCGACUGCGGCCGCUGCCACGCCAAGAUCAGGAAGGUGCUCGAGAGGAUCAGAGAGAAGGGUGAGUUCAUCAUCGACGACAUCAAGUACGACGAGAAGAAGAACCACGUGAUCGUGUCGGGCCCCUUCGACGCCGACAAGCUGGGCGACAAGCUCUGCUGCAAGGCGUGCAACAUCAUCAAGGAGAUCGAGACCGUCGAGCCGAUCAAGAAACAGGAGCCCAAGCCUCCGCCGCCGACGGAUAAGGUGAAGCCCCCGGGCCCGGGUAAGGAUGAGACGGUCAAGGAGAAAGAGAAGCCGCCGCCGCCGCCGCCUCCGCCGGCCAAGGUCGUGCAGGUGCCGGUGCCGGUGCCGUACCCGUGUCCCUACCCCUACCCGUUCCCGGCGGGGCCGUCCGGCUGCUGCUGCCACCAGGGACACGGCGGCUGCCAGUGCUCGACGCCGGCGCCCCAGUACACCAUGCCGCCGUCGUAUCCGUGCGGCGGCUACAUGAUGGUCUGCGAGGAGGACCCGUCCGGCGCCUGCACCGUCAUGUGA